rnacentral:rRNA from 1 species
GGGGAAUUUUCCGCAAUGGGCGAAAGCCUGACGGAGCAACGCCGCGUGAGGGAUGAAGGCCUCUGGGCUGUAAACCUCUUUUCUCAAGGAAGAAGACCUGACGGUACUUGAGGAAUAAGCCACGGCUAAUUCCGUGCCAGCAGCCGCGGUAAUACGGGAGUGGCAAGCGUUAUCCGGAAUUAUUGGGCGUAAAGCGUCCGCAGGCGGCCUUGUAAGUCUGUUGUUAAAGCGUGGAGCUCAACUCCAUUUGAGCAAUGGAAACUACAAGGCUUGAGUGUGGCAGGGGCAGAGGGAAUUCCCGGUGUAGCGGUGAAAUGCGUAGAUAUCGGGAAGAACACCAGUGGCGAAGGCGCUCUGCUGGGCCAUAACUGACGCUCAUGGACGAAAGCCAGGGGAGCGAAAGGGAUUAGAUACCCCUGUAGUC